rnacentral:misc_RNA from 1 species
AUAAGAGGAUACCCUCGGGUACACCCCAUCCGUGUCUAUAUACUCUUGUUGCUUUGGCAGGCCGUGGUCUCCCACUGUGGGCUCUGCCUGCAUGUGCCUGCCAGAGGACCAAACUCUGAAUUUUAGUGAUGUCUGAGUACUAAAUAAUAGUUA